UACGUAGGUGGCAAGCGUUGUCCGGAAUUACUGGGCGUAAAGUGUGCGCAGGCGGCCGAGCAAGUCGAGUGUGAAAGCCCCGGGCUUAACUUGGGAAUUGCGCUCGAAACUACUUGGCUGGAGUGUGGCAGAGGAAGGUGGAAUUCCAGGUGUAGCGGUGAAAUGCGUAGAGAUCUGGAGGAACACCGAUGGCGAAGGCAGCCUUCUGGGCCAACACUGACGCUGAUGCGCGAAAGCCAGGGGAGCGAACGGG
rnacentral:rRNA from 1 species